rnacentral:ncRNA from 1 species
CCCUGCGCCCCGUUCCUCGGUGCCCUGGCGGUUUCGCCGCCGGGUUAAACGGGAAGUCCGGUGAGCGCUCACGCGCGAGUCCGGCGCUGCCCCCGCAACGGUGAUCGAGCGCGGAUCCAUUCCGGAGUCCUUCGGCAGUGGAUCCUCGAGGCUGGCGGCCGAAUGCCACUGUGUCAUGGACACGGGAAGGCGCCGCCCGCCGGGAAUGUCCCGCUCGUCAGCCCGGAGACCGGCCGGGGAAUGGUCGUGCGG